rnacentral:lncRNA from 1 species
GUCCCCGACCGCCCGCCCGCCGCCGGGCUUGGGUCCCUGUACCCAGGUCGGCUGUGCGUGGCCGUGACACUUCGGGUGCCUGUUCCUGGGUCCCCGGGGAGGGGGAUCUCAUUCCUGCCCCUACGCUGGGCGCCCCCAGCACCGUCGCUCAGCGAGGUGGGCGCUCCUCCGGGACCCCGGCGGCCGCCCGCGGGCGGCGACCUCGGCCCUCCUGGGUCCGCGCGGGGGCGGGGAGCUCGGUCCCCCUCCCUCUUCCUCUCCCUCUCCCUCUCCCUGCUCGGCUGCCCUGCGCGGGGGCGGGGGCGGGGGCGGAGCGCGCGGGCGGGA